rnacentral:rRNA from 1 species
UCCACCCUCACGCGCCCCUUUAGUGCGUGGUGUUGGGGCAUACUGCGGCUGCCGCGAGGCACCGCAGGCCCUGAAACCCAGUGGCGGGCCGGCAGAAGGCUCCGAGCGCAGUAAGCAUCACGCCCUCGCUCCGGACGCCCCUGCUGGCAGCUCGCCCUGCGGCGGAAACGCUUGCAGCAACCAUCUUAAAGGUUGACCUCGGAUCAGGUAGGAUUACCCGCUGAACUUAAGCAUAUCAAUAAGCGGAGGAAAAGAAACCAACAGGGAUUGCCCCAGUAACGGCGAGUGAAGCGGCAACAGCUCAGAUUUGGAAUCUGGCCUUCGGGCCCGAGUUGUAAUCUGGAGAGGAUGCUUCUGGCGCGGUGCCUUCCGAGUUCCCUGGAACGGGACGCCGGAGAGGGUGAGAGCCCCGUACGGUUGGACACCUAGCCUCUGUGAAGCUCCUUCGACGAGUCGAGUAGUUUGGGAAUGCUGCUCAAAAUGGGAGGUAAAUUUCUUCUAAAGCUAAAUAUUGGCCAGAGACCGAUAGCGCACAAGUAGAGUGAUCGAAAGAUGAAAAGCACUUUGAAAAGAGAGUUAAAAAGUACGUGAAAUUGUUGAAAGGGAAGCGCCCGUGGCCAGACUUGCGCUGCGCGGACCACCCAGCGUUCUCGCUGGUGCACUCCGCGCGGCGCAGGCCAGCAUCGGUUUUCCUAGGGGGAUAAAGGUCGCGGGAACGUAGCUCCUCCGGGAGUGUUAUAGCCCGUGGCGUCAUGCCCCUGGGGGGACCGAGGACCGCGCUUCGGCAAGGAUUCGUC